rnacentral:rRNA from 1 species
UACGGAGGGGGCCAGCGUUGUUCGGAAUUAUUGGGCGUAAAGGGCGCGUAGGCGGCCGAAUAAGUCUGAUGUGAAAGCCCACGGCUCAACCGUGGAGGGUCAUUGGAAACUGGGAGACUUGAGUGCAGAAGAGAAGAGUGGAAUUCCACGUGUAGCGGUGAAAUGCGUAGAGAUGUGGAGGAACACCAGUGGCGAAGGCGACUCUUUGGUCUGUAACUGACGCUGAGGCGCGAAAGCGUGGGGAGCAAACAGG